rnacentral:rRNA from 1 species
GACGAACGCUGGCGGCGUGCUUAACACAUGCAAGUCGAACGGUAAGGCUCCAGCUUGCUGGGGUACACGAGUGGCGAACGGGUGAGUAACACGUGGGUGACCUGCCCUGCACUUCGGGAUAAGCCUGGGAAACUGGGUCUAAUACCGGAUAGGACCGCACCGUGAGGGUGUGGUGGAAAGUUUUUUCGGUGUGGGAUGGGCCCGCGGCCUAUCAGCUUGUUGGUGGGGUAAUGGCCUACCAAGGCGGCGACGGGUAGCCGGCCUGAGAGGGUGGACGGCCAAAGUGGGACAGGGGAAGCGCCAAGACCCCAAGGGGAGGAAGGGGGGGGGAAAAGAGCAAAAGGGGCGGAAGCAGGAUGCAGGGACGCCGGGGGGGGGAAGACGGCCUUGGGGUUGGAAAACCCUUUCACCAACGAAGAAGGGUUUCGGAGGGAAAAGGGAAAAAAAGCACCGGUAAAUUAAGG